UCAUGUGUUGGACGACAAAUGUUUCUUUUAAAUUAUAACAUGCAUGAAUGGUUCGAUGAUAACAUGCUAUCCUUUAUUGCAUAUGUAUUAAUUUAUUUAUAUGCUAUCACUCGUGCUUGAAUGAUGAAUUGAAUGGAACUUACCUUGGACUUAUGAUCCCGCGGUCCACAUUUGCUUUUGUGGCUUGAAUGGGUCAUUGGUGCCCUUUGUGGCUUAUUGGUUAUAUUUACACAUCUGUUGUUUCCUAGCCAUUUUGCGGAGUUUAGUCAUACCAUGAUUUCCGGGUAGAGCUGAAGUUCGUUUAUCGAUUUUCUAGCCAUCUUGUGGUGUUCACGUACGAUAUGAUUUCUGGGUGGUCUAGAGUUGUAUGUUUGUUUUCCUAGCCAUCUUGCGAUGUUCAGUCAUACCAUGAUUUCCGGGUGGAGCUGAAGUUCGCUUAUCGAUUUUUUAGCCAUCUUGCGGUGUUUACGUACGACAUGAUUUCCGGAUGAAGAAGAGGUUUGAAGGUUGAUUUUCUAUUCACCUCAUGGAUUUCACUUGUACCAUGAUUUCCGGGUGGAGCUGAAGUUCGCUUAUCGAUUUUCUAGCCAUCUUGCGGAGUUCACGUACAAAUGCGAUUAUCGGGUGUAAUAGAAAGUCGUAUGGUUGAUCGUUUGGUUAUUUGGACAUGUUUCCUUGUAUUGCGACUGCCAUUAUAUUUUGCUUAUGAUGAAAUUCUGUUGAUUGGUUUGACUUUCUUAAUAUGAUGAAAUGCCUUAUUUAGUGUAUCUAAUUUCAUGACUUGUAAUCUAUAUUGGAUUAUGAACGAUGAGUGCGUAAUCUUAGAGGGUGCUCCUCACUGCGAUAGCCAUUGACGCUAUCAAACCGUAACAGUUGAUGCAGGUAUAGGGCGAGCCGAUGCUGUUCACUAGGUUGUUGGAGCAGAUCGAGUAGCUAGGGAGCUAGGUGGGGUCCUUGCGGCCCGCAUUGAUCUCCACUACUAAUUGAUAGACUCAUGUUUUUACUUACCUGAACCUUGUUAUUUGAGAUUGUAUAAGUCCUGUAUGGGCGCUACAUUUGGAAUUUUGUAAUGAUCAGAAUGUUUUUAUACAAUGCAUGGUUUAAUCUA